GUGAGGAAUAUUGGUCAAUGGGCGAGAGCCUGAACCAGCCAAGUCGCGUGAAGGAAGAAGGAUCUAUGGUUCGUAAACUUCUUUUGCAGGGGAAUAAAGUGCAGGACGUGUCCUGUUUUGUAUGUACCCUGAGAAUAAGGAUCGGCUAACUCCGUGCCAGCAGCCGCGGUAAUACGGAGGAUCCGAGCGUUAUCCGGAUUUAUUGGGUUUAAAGGGUGCGUAGGUGGUUUGAUAAGUCAGCGGUGAAAGUUUGCAGCUUAACUGUAAAAAUGCCGUUGAAACUGUCUGACUUGAGUGUAAAUGAGGUAGGCGGAAUGCGUGGUGUAGCGGUGAAAUGCAUAGAUAUCACGCAGAACUCCGAUUGCGAAGGCAGCUUACUAAGCUACAACUGACACUGAAGCACGAAAGCGUGGGGAUCAAACAGGAUUAGAAACCCCGGUAGUCC
rnacentral:rRNA from 1 species